rnacentral:rRNA from 1 species
GAUGAACGCUGGCGGCGUGCCUAAUACAUGCAAGUCGAGCGAACGGACGAGAAGCUUGCUUCUCUGAUGUUAGCGGCGGACGGGUGAGUAACACGUGGAUAACCUACCUAUAAGACUGGGAUAACUUCGGGAAACCGGAGCUAAUACCGGAUAAUAUUUUGAACGGCAUGGUUCAAAGGUGAAAGACGGUCUUGCUGUCACUUAUAGAUGGUCCCGCGCUGCAUUAGCUAGUUGGUAAGGAAACGGCUUACAAAGGCAACGAUGCAUAGCCGACCUGGGAGGGUGAUCGGCCACCCGGGAACGGAAACACGGCCCAGCCCCCUACGGGAGGCAGCAGUGGGGAUUUUUCCGCAAUGGGCGAAGCCCUGCCGGGGCAACGCCGCGUGGGUGAUGAAGGUCUUCGGUUCGUAAAACUCUUUUAUUAGGGAAAAACAUAUGUUUAAGUAACUGUGCCCAUCUUGACGGGCCCUAAUCAGAAAGCCCCGGCCAACCCCGU